GACGAACGCUGGCGGCGUGCCUAAUACAUGCAAGUUGAGCGCUGAAGGUUGGUACUUGUACCAACUGGAUGAGCAGCGAACGGGUGAGUAACGCGUGGGGAAUCUGCCUUUGAGCGGGGGACAACAUUUGGAAACGAAUGCUAAUACCGCAUAAAAACUUUAAACACAAGUUUUAAGUUUGAAAGAUGCAAUUGCAUCACUCAAAGAUGAUCCCGCGUUGUAUUAGCUAGUUGGUGAGGUAAAGGCUCACCAAGGCGAUGAUACAUAGCCGACCUGAGAGGGUGAUCGGCCACAUUGGGACUGAGACACGGCCCAAACUCCUACGGGAGGCAGCAGUAGGGAAUCUUCGGCAAUGGACGAAAGUCUGACCGAGCAACGCCGCGUGAGUGAAGAAGGUUUUCGGAUCGUAAAACCCUGUUGGUAGAGAAGAACGUUGGUGAGAGUGGAAAGCUCAUCAAGUGACGGUAACUACACAGAAAGGGACGGCUAACUACGUG
rnacentral:rRNA from 1 species